CGGCAGCACGGACUUCGGUCUGGUGGCGAGUGGCGAACGGGUGAGUAAUGUAUCGGAACGUGCCUAGUAGCGGGGGAUAACUACGCGAAAGCGUAGCUAAUACCGCAUACGCCCUACGGGGGAAAGCAGGGGAUCGCAAGACCUUGCACUAUUAGAGCGGCCGAUAUCGGAUUAGCUAGUUGGUGGGGUAACGGCUCACCAAGGCGACGAUCCGUAGCUGGUUUGAGAGGACGACCAGCCACACUGGGACUGAGACACGGCCCAGACUCCUACGGGAGGCAGCAGUGGGGAAUUUUGGACAAUGGGGGAAACCCUGAUCCAGCCAUCCCGCGUGUGCGAUGAAGGCCUUCGGGUUGUAAAGCACUUUUGGCAGGAAAGAAACGUCCCGGGCUAAUACCCUGGGAAACUGACGGUACCUGCAGAAUAAGCACCGGCUAACUACGUGCCAGCAGCCGCGGUAAUACGUAGGGUGCAAGCGUUAAUCGGAAUUACUGGGCGUAAAGCGUGCGCAGGCGGUUCGGAAAGAAAGAUGUGAAAUCCCAGAGCUUAACUUUGGAACUGCAUUUUUAACUACCGAGCUAGAGUGUGUCA
rnacentral:rRNA from 1 species